rnacentral:rRNA from 1 species
GAUGAACGCUGGCGGCGUGCCUAAUACAUGCAAGUCGAGCGAACAGACGAGGAUCUUGCUCCUCUCACGUUAGCGGCGGACGGGUGAGUAACGCGUGUAUAACCUACCUAUAAGACUGGGAUAACUUCGGGAAACCGGAGCUAAUACCGUAUAAUAUCUUGAACCGCAUGGUUCAAUAGUGAAAGACGGUUUUGCUGUCACUUAUAGAUGCAUCCGCGCUGCAUUAGCUAGUUGGUAAGUUAACGGCUUACUAAGGCAACGAUGCGUGGACGAACUGCGAGGGUGAUAGGCCACCUGGGAAGUGAGACACGGACCAGACUACUACGGGAGGCAGCAGUAGGGAAUGUGACGCAGUAGGCGGAAGCAUGACGGAGCAACGCGGCGUGAGUGAUGACAGUCUUCGGAUCGUAAAACUCUGUUAUUAGGGAAGAACAAAUGUGUAAGUAACUAUGCACGUCUUGACGGUACCUAAUAAGAAAGCCACGGCUAACUACGUG